ensembl:lncRNA
GAGUUAACUCCUCUAGGCCCGCUGGUGUAAUAAACCUGAGUUCUCCAACUCUCUGAGUGUGGUGCUUGGUUUCUUGAUUACUGGUUUCUGCAACAAACCACUGGACCCCCAGGGAAGCCCUGAGUUGGUUGUUUUUUUUUUUCUUUUUCCCGUUUGAAUGAUUACUUUUCUGUUAAGAUCAUGCACCUUGGCUGGAACGUUCUAAUAUCACCUACAUGGCAUGACUUUUGUCCAAGUAAGUGAACUAUCAGUACAUCGUUUUUCCUUUGUAAUCUCUGUGUCGUCGAGGCCCAUGGGCUUGCUAUGCCCGGUAGAGUCCCGGGUAGAGGUCCGCGGCCUUCAGGAUCUAAUGCCUGAGGAUCUGAGGUGGAGCUGAUGUACUAAAAAUAGAAAUAAAGUGGCAACAAUGUAAAGUGCUUGAAUCAUCCAGAAACCAUCCCCCCGACUCCCAGGUCCUUGGAAAAAAGUCUCUUGCACGAAACGAGUUCCUAGUGCAAAAAAAGGUUGGGGACCACUCUUGUGAGGAUCACUGGCUUGCAGUGUGUCGGGCGAACUGGGUGGAAACACAGCGCCCCCCCUGCAGGUGUGCAGAGUUAGAAGCCGCGUUGUAACAAGAGCCCAGAUGUGACUUUGGAGACCUGUGCUGGCUGAGUUUCCACUGGUGAACUACUCCAGGGUUCUGCAGAAACCCAGGGUCUCUGUGUUGUUUUUGCUUUGCAUAUGUCUUGCACAAGGCCUUUUUGAUGAUGUCAGCAUGCCGGAGGAACGUGAAGAACUGAACAUUGCUCAGUCACGUCCAACUCUUUGUGACCCCCAUGGGCUAUACAGUCCAUGGGAUUAUCCAUGGCCAGAAUACUGGAGUGGAUCUUCCUUACCCAGGGAUGGAACCCAGGUCUCCUGCCUUGCAGACAGAUUCUUUACCAGCUGAGCCACCAGGGAAGCCCCAAGAAUACUGGAGUGGGUAGCCUUUCCCUUCUCCAGGGGACCUUCCCAACCCAGGAAUCGAACCAGGGUCUCCUGCAUUGCAGGAGGAUUCUUUACCAGCUGAGCUGCCAGGAAAGCCCACCAGAGGAAUAUGUCUUCUUGCUUACGACCGUGAUCUGAGGUGCAGAAGUUAAUGACGUGAUGACCAGGCUGCAGCCAGGACAUAAGCUCUCAUGAUUCCGGGAACUGGCCUCAAGAUGUGGGAAGAAACCGACCCUGGAAGUGAAGAUCAGCUGCAGUUGAAACAACCAAGGAUCAGACCACUGCUGACCAGCUUCAAGAUAACUUGUCAGAGCUGACUGUGUGUUUCAAGAAGCCUCCUCCCUUUGUCUAUAAAAGCUCUUAGCCCCCAAUUGUCAGGGGCAGGUAGUCAGCCUUUGUACAGGCUCCCGCCCCCACCCCUGCCCCACAAGUGCCAGCAACAAAAUAAAGCAAACUUUGCUGUCCAGCAACCUGGCUUCCUUAUUGCCUUUUGGGCUGCAAGCAGACGGACCCGGCUUUUGGUAACAGGAGCAGACACUGAUCAUCAUUUUAAAUGAAUAUAUG